ensembl:lncRNA
GUUUGAAAGUUGGAUUACAGCUUGCAGCGGAAAGGAGUCGCCUAUACUGCCCGUCAGCUGCAGCCCAGAAGAUGUAGUGAAGUGGAGGAAAGCAACAUAAAAAAGAGACUCAUGGCCAUGUGGUGAGCCUAGCUUAAGCCCCCCCUAUGCUGUGCACCCCCUGUCCUCGUCCCUCACUCACCCCCUCCAACGCCGACCGAAGGACAGAGGCAUGUCCCAGGUGUUCCUGCAUCUGGCCAUACUAACCGUCUCCAGCAUCCAGGUAUCUCCGGCUGUCGCGCUGGAUAAACUGAAGGAGGACUGGUUACAGUACGAAAAGGAAUGUAACCACAACAACACCAGGGCCCCGCCCUCCACCGGU